rnacentral:sRNA from 1 species
AAUCAAGUAAAGAGGAGAAUCUUGAAGAGGAGAGAAGACUUUUUUAUGUAGGUAUAACACGUGCUAUAGAUAAUCUAUAUUUGUUUUCUCCAAGAAA